CUCUACUCUGGGGAAUCAUAGUGUUCUGAAAUAUAGUUGCAUCAUCUUUACACCUCCUGGUUCUUAGGCCGCAUCUAGACCCACUGCUCCAAGUGGUCAAGUCCCCAGUGGAUCUAUCUUCCUACCAAUGAGAUCUCCCUGAGAACUGAGGGGCUAUAACCUCACCAUUCACGACUGCUCUGUCCUCUGCAAAUCUCCUUCCAUUAUUUCAGGUAAUCCCAUGACUGUCUUGUGGAUUAUACUUGGGUUUCUCUUCCCUGUUUCACAAAAUGCCUAAGAGAACUUAAUAGUUAGCUUUCCUGAUGAAAGCAUUAAAAUUCACCCAUUGCAGCAAAAUCUGUCAAAUAAAUUCACACUUAUUUUCUGGAGAAAAAAAGAAAACUACACCUUGUUUACAAAUGAAAUAGUUUCAUUUAAAUGGGAUUUUAGCCAAGGCAGUUAAUUAGUCAAAAGAUCCAUGUUAGUCACACAGUCAUGCAUUGUUUAUUCUAUUUGAUAUGCCUACCAUUGAUGUGUAUUUAAUAUUCUGCAUCCUUCUCAGGAAAUGACAAAUGCCCUGAAUUCUUUGCAAAUAGAAUUGCUAAUGAGAAAGAAAAAGAAAGUUGGUGUUAAUUAAAUGGUGAUUAAAAAUUUAUCUCCUUUAAACCUAAAAAGUGCAGCUUUAAUAAUCGGUUGUCAUAUAAACAAAUACCUUGCACUGAAAUCCCUUGCUGUUUAAGACCUAGAUAAAUACUAAUUUGAGAAACCUAAAUAUCUUUCAGAGGAGCUGAAUACACUCGUUAGCAUUAUGCACAUUCCUGUACUGUUUCUUUGUACAUAGCUGUUGUGCAUGAACCCUUGGGAAGGGGACAUGAGUUGCUUCCCAAAGGGAGCUUGUUCUUGUUCGCAUUAACCAUCACUGUAGUAGACAUAAUUGGACUUCAAGGAAAAGAAUUUCAGUAGGUGGAACCCAAAUGCACUGGUUGAUAUUUAAUACAAGAUAACAGUUCUAUGUAAAUGUGAUUUUCCUUCCAAAAGCAGUGUUUAUUUUCACUUGAGUCAAAAUUAGGCUUCUCUGAUACUCCAUCUUUGUUGGAUAAACAGGGUUGAAAGUGCUUAUUGAGAGAUUAUGUGGGGUCUACACUUGAAAAGUUCUCCCAAUAUGCAGCUUCCCUUUCUCAUCCCAUUCCUUUAUAUUGUACUGUGUUCAUAACUAAUUGUUUCAGAUGAGGUCAGCUUGCCACCUGAUACAGAUCAAAGAUGAUCAAACGCACUCGUCCUGUGAAUACAGAUGCUUGUGUAUACAUGUAUAUAAUAUAUGUGCUUGAUUUCUGCAGUUCACACAGAUGUGUAUUAUCCAGAUAAAGCUGUACAUAUUGUAAAGUUUAUGUUUAAAAAUUAAGUGGUAAUGAUUGUACUGACACAUGGAAAACCCAUUCUAGUUUUUUGAUGGUUUCUGUAGAGAGGACACUAUAUUUUUUUAAUCUCAGUUCUCCGGAGGAUAACAGAGCCCAAGUAGUAUUUGGGUGUUGGUUUUCUUGGCCCCUUAAAAAAUAAGAAUCUGGGUGAAGGGCGUGGAAUAUAUGCUGCUCACAUUCACUUCUGAAGACAAUGCUAAUAAGGACUAUCCAUCAAAACACACAGAUUUCCUAUUUAAACUCCUUAUCCUCUUUCCCACUCUCCUAUAUGUUGUCUGUGUCCAGAAGUGCUCUCGGGGUGGUAUCAGCUGCAGGUGCCUGCCCAGGAGCAUCUCAGAAAAACCGAAUUUGUAGAACUACACCAAGAUCUGGGGGAAAUGGAAGGGAGAUGAGAAAAUGAAAUCUGCAAAGGGGCAGUAAUUUGUAUAAGGGCAUCAAGUCAGAGAGCAUCAGAGAUGGGGCUGGAACCCAAGACUUUUUGGUCCAAUUUCUUACCAUGUCUCAGUUUCUUUCAGGAGAGCGUUUCUGAGUGCCUGCAGAAGAGUCAGAGAGACCCACUAAGCUGGCUUUCUUUGCCUCUUUGCCCUGUGCAGACCCAUGCAUGCCUUUAUGAAUUUGAAUCAAGGUCCUUCAUAAUCUCUCGUUGUCUCAGAGUCUCAGAGAAGAAAAAACUUUUUUCAUUGACCUUUCUCCCAAGAAGGAACAAUGAAAAAUGUGGAUUAAAAUUUCAAACCAAAGACAAAAGCUGGCAACAAUCACUGAAAUCAUAGUUGUAUUUCCUGGGCACCAAGGUUCAACCAAGCAUCUUGAUCAUGUAAUUGCACUUACCUGAGUGCCCAUUCAUUUUGAAAUCCAGUUUAGGAUUAGGGAGUUGUAAAGCGAACAGAAAAUCUAGUCACUUCUUGUAAUGGUUUAGAAGUUUAAUUCCCUAAUACAAAAGAUAAUUAAAGACCAUAAAAGGCAAAUGGACUAAACAGUAAAAAUUAGAAAUGACCAAUGAAAUUGUUUCCAGGAAAUAAAUAUUAAUCUGAUUCCAUGAUCAAACUUAGAAAACAACAGGGCUCUCCUCAGACUGUUUUGUAACUCUGAAGAAUAUGACUGGUGUUCCUACAGAUGGCCUGGAUGGAUGUGAACCUUUAGAAAAGGUGCUUGGGGAAUGCAGAAGCCACUACACAGGUGAACAAACUCACCCUUCUGAAUUUUUGCACAGGCUGGCUUGGGUCUGCUUCCAACCAGUUCUCCAAACUUUAGCAAAUCCUGCUUCUUUUUGGCUCUGCUUUAUGACAUGCGCUUCAAAAAAGGUAAAAAAAAAAUUCCUCAAAGGAUUAGAAAAUAGACCGUGAUGUUAAAAAACAAAAUAUUUCCUGAAAUCUUUUUCCUUUGUUUUGUUUUUGGCUUGUGAGGAGCGCUUUCAAUAGUCCAGGGUUUGGGUGGAAGGGGAGGGGGAAAUAGGGAGAACCUUUUAUCGAGUCCCAAGUGCCUACUGUUGUGGCUGGUGCAAGCAAGCAUCAAGUUCCCUAGAGAGAAAAUGGGGCAAGGAGAUGACUAAAGGAGCCUAGGUGUAUUUGAGAAGAGAUGGCAGAGUAGAGAGGGUGGAGAGGGAGCUUUUCUUUACUCUGUCCAUCCCAUUCUGGGUAGUGCUGGAAUAUUAGAUUCUGUGCUCAUCACAAGGACAUUGCAUAUAUCGGCACCUGAGUCUGAAAAUAUAAAAAAUACAUCUACAUUGAGUAUAAAGCAGCCUAGAACACAAUCCUCAAAAUAACAAGAUAUAAAUAUGAUUGCUCCCAUUUUACAGAUAGGGAAACUGAGGUUUAAGUACUCAGCCUCAUCAGAAACAGGAGUUAGCCAAUAAAUUUCUAACCUUAGACAUAUUAGACAUAACCUUAGACAUAUUCUUGAAGUGCCUGAUCUCCUCCAGGGAGUUCAGAAUAGAAAUGCGCCCGUGCGUGCAUGCGAGAGUGAGAGAGAGAGAGCAAGAGAGAGAGAGAGAGGGAGAGAGAGGGAGAGAGAGGGAGAGAGAGGGAGGUUUGAGUUUUGAGGUUACCGGGCUUUCUCUCGAGUGCCAGUGUCUGUGAUGAGGAGCUUCGGCAUUGUCCUAUCGUCCUACCCUUGCCAUCUGGUGGGGGUAUGUCAAGUACUGAGAGGGACCUCACCUCUCUUCAGAGUCCCCUCAGAGACAUGUACGCUGCUGGUGUCUCUCUUCCUUCAUGUGCUUGUACUCAGCAUUUUUUUCUUUUUUUUGCUUCCUGGGGAAUUACUUUCUCUACUUAGCAUGUGCCUAAUCUUAAAUAUCCCUUUCCUAAUCUCUCUUCUUUUUAUCAGUUUAAAUCAGGGCUAAUUCCAUUAAGCAUGUGUACAUAGUGUGCUCUCCUCUGUGUGUAGGGACACACACACACACACACACACACACACACACACACACACACUGCCUUGUGGCCCUCCAUUAAAGCACUCCUAAACAUUGUGACCCAUUUUUAAAGAGGUGAUGUCAUUUGUAAGUCAACUGUUCCUCUUAUUCCGUCUGUACGUUUGCUUAUUUCUGCCAGGCAGACAGAAUGAGGUUCAGAGGUGGGAGAGCGAGUAGAGAAAAGAGUUUUGCCCAAAAGAUUGAGAGCAUUAAGGUAAUCGCAAUGACUGAGGGCCGAUUAUUGAAAUGCUGUUGCUGUUUACUUUCUUGGUCCGUCCUAUUUUUUGAAUUGCUUUACAGAUGUUUUCCUGGCUGCAGCCUCAGGAUAACUGUUCAACCACCGAACGCUUAUUCAUGUUGUUCCAUGACAAGUGUUGAAGUAGAACAUUUCUAUCGGGCUUCCUGGUACCCAGAAUGGCACGGUGUUAAAUGCAUGCUGUAGGCAACGCCCCUAGGCCCAUACAUGCCUUUCUUUGCAUCCUUUUCUUCCUGUGUUCUAAGCCUCUCUUCUUUUUUUGGUACCGGGGAUCGAACUCGGAUCCUUCCGCUUGCAAGGCAGGCGGCGGAACCACUGAGCUAAAUCCCCGGCCCCCAAGCCUGUCUUCUUUUUCUGGCAUUUAUAUUUGCUAUGAGGUGGGUCGCAUUAGCCUAUUUUAUAGGUGAGAAAACAGAGCUAGGCCUGGAAGGGAUGGUCUCUGAGGGUCUCCAUGGCUUACUCUUUCUGGAGGACCGCUAAUCCUAAUGCAAGUACCCAUGUCCUAGUCCCUGAGAAAUUCUUUCACCUUUCAAGCUGGCAGUAAAAAAACCUAUUAAGACAGGAAGAACAUUAUUAUUUAAUAGCUAUUUUGAGAUCCUGUUGUUGUUUCUGCAAGUGUGUAGCAAUAUUGUCCCAGGGAUGUUGAACUACGGAGAAAGUAGAGCACCCCAAAGAAUAAUUUGGCCAAUCUUGCUUCUUCUUUGGAGGCCUAUUUCAGAGUAUGCAAUCCUCCAGGGAGCCAGAACCAAAUUGCUUAAAAUGGAGUCAUUCUUCAGAUUAACUUCCUCAAGUAAGGUGUCAGCAGUCAGCAACAACAAACAAAACAAAGCAGAUUACCACUGGUAAAUCCCUCUUAUGUACCAUGUCAAGGGACAAUGAGUUUGCAUUUUUGCAAUGGCAGAACAUUCCUCAUUAGCAGCAGGCCUGGGUCAUGACCUCUUCCAGUUAAUUCUCCUUUACACCUUUGGGAAGGAUUGAAGAUGAGCCUUCAAGAGGGUAUUAGCAUAAUGCAUAGCCCAUACUAUGGCUGCCUUUUAAAUUAAUAAGGUUAAUUGUUCUCCAGCACACAAAUUUGUCUUUGACAUUUUAAAUGUUCCACAUUGAUCUGACAUUUCACUGUUUCAAGCUCUUAAAGGGCUUAAAUCAAAGACUAUUGAUAAUUGAGCAAACAGUGAAGGCCCACAAAUAUAAAAACACUGUCAGUUUUUCCAUGACAAACAAUCCUAGCCUUUUGAAUCCAAUGGAGGUUUUUACAUUAGGCAUCUAAGACUUAUUGAAUUAUUUCUAUUCUCAGUUAAGCUAAUUCAAGUGAAUGAACAGUAUUGACUUUUUAAACCUAUUUCACUUUUUUUAAUCUUAAGUUUAUUAGAUUUGUAGACACAGCUUUGAGCCAUGAUCAGUAAGGAAAUGUUCUGGUUUAGAAAGAGAAGAUUUUACGACAAAUUCAAGGGGUCAUCUUUGAAAAUUUUGAUGGAUUUGAGAAGAUGAAAGUGUAACCUUCAUGUCCCCAGAUUUUCCAUUAGGAAGGAUGCCAGUUGCCUAGUUUUUCACAUAAAAUAGUAGGUCAAGAAUAACAUUUUCAUAGAAAAUGCAAUCAUUGCUCGAUACAAGUAACUACAUAGCUAGAUGUGGCUCAUACAUUUUCCAAGCCUGAGGGUCCUUAAAGAUUUUUUUUACCAGCUGUUUUAAAACUACAAAUGCCAAUUUUUUUUCAUUCCCCUGCUAACAUAAAUUUAAAAGCAUAUACUUGCCAAAUUAAUUAGUAGAAUUUAUCAUAGUUUAUAUCACACUGGAAUGUUUAUGUGUAUGUUUUUAUGUAUAGUAUAUAUUUUAUAUAUAUAUAUUUCAAACUGAGUAUUCAGAAUGAAUUACGUGAGUUAAUUGGUGACUUGAAUAAGAAGUAGAUCAUAAAAUUAUAAAUAAUGGCCUUCUCAGACAGAAAAAGAGGGUAAACUUACUCAUUUUUCACUCAUGCUGUAAGACUCAUUUCAUAAUAUACAAGCUGGUCAUUGUCCACAGAGUUCCUGAAUUAAACAGCUUAUACAUAAAGGAUCUAUGCCUGAGUCCAUUUUUAACCCAGUAGGGAUGGAAUUGAAUUCAUAUGCAGAGGGUUUCCACUCACAGCUACGUUCAAACACUGUCUAAAACACAUCUGAACUGGCUUGAUCUCUUGUAUGGUGGAGCCCAAAGCAAGCUGUGUGCUCCACUCACUGGUCUUCAUUUAGGAAGAAGAUCUUCACUUACCAAUCGCAGCAAUUUAUAUCUGUCAUGUUUUAAUCCACUGCAUGAGGAAGUGCUAAUAACUGUAUUAAAUAUUUCCAAGCAUAGCUACAAAAUUACACGUUUGCUUAACACCUUUCUAUGAUAGAGGAAGUAUAUACUAUGGUUGUCUUCUUGUAGUGUGUCUUUUAAUUUUGUUCAAUGUGUUAUCAACUGUUUUAAGGAAUGGGGUUUGAAAUGUGUGUGCAAAAUGAUAUGUACAUAACUCGUGAGGCAAAAGAAGUGCCCGAUCAUAUGGUGUAAAAAUGUAAAUACAGGAAAAUUUCAUUUUUCUAAUAAAGAUAAUUUCUGCCAAUUGAUAUGAA
rnacentral:lncRNA from 1 species